GCAACCGAUGCACGUGCAGUUGAGUGAGGAUGUGGAUCGGACCAGCGAGCGCAGCUGCACAGAGGCUGCUGUGCUGUGGGCGGUGCUGGAGGUGAAACGAAGAGGCAGAGAGGAGAGCAUGGGCUGGUGUGGUCGUGUGGACCCAUUGUCCUUGAAGGGCAGCGAUCAGCAUAGUUUGCUCUGCGAUUCUAAAAUUGCAGCUCCUAUUGAAGACUGAGAUAGUUCUCGGCAGCUAGACCCCCAGAUUACACUACAAGAUAAAAAAAAUCCAUCAAAUUUAGAUGGUCCCUAACACGGUAAGAUCCAGCCAAGUUGAUGCUGCCUGCAAGGUGUUCGAUAAAAUGAAGGACCCAAGGUUGAUUUACAGGGUUGAAAGCUUACUAAUUCAGUGGAUGGUCUUGAUAUUGGCAGCUUGUUUCACAGCUAAGCCAGACAUGAUGCAUAUGACCAGAAACAAACCUAGGAAAGAAUGCGCGCAAAGAAUUAUAUAUUCGCUUGCUACCGCCAGGAUGUAUAUAUGCUUAGUUCUUUGAACUUUCAUGACAAGGAAACAUUAAAGAGGUGCAUGUAUGCUAAUAAUGUCAACAGAGUAGAUGCAACCAUAUGAAAAAAUGUAUAAAACUGUAAUCCUUCUUGUUGGUACAGUAUAGAUUAGCUUUCCAUA